rnacentral:tRNA from 1 species
UCAUUAAGAAGCUAUGCACCAGCACUAGCCUUUUAAGCUAGAGAAAGGGGACCACCAAACUCCCCCUUAAUGAG